UAGGGUGAAGCCCGGUGGAUUGGGUAUUUAGUUGUUAAUUAAAUUUUUACGGGAGCGAGGCCCGUUUGUCUA
rnacentral:tRNA from 1 species